UGGGGAAUCUUCCGCAAUGGACGAAAGUCUGACGGAGCAACGCCGCGUGAGUGAUGACGGCCUUCGGGUUGUAAAGCUCUGUUAAUCGGGACGAAUGGUUCUUGUGCGAAUAGUGCGAGGAUUUGACGGUACCGGAAUAGAAAGCCACGGCUAACUACGUGCCAGCAGCCGCGGUAAUACGUAGGUGGCAAGCGUUGUCCGGAAUUAUUGGGCGCAAAGCGCGCGCAGGCGGAUCAGUUAGUCUGUCUUAAAAGUUCGGGGCUUAACCCCGUGAUGGGAUGGAAACUGCUGAUCUAGAGUAUCGGAGAGGAAAGUGGAAUUCCUAGUGUAGCGGUGAAAUGCGUAGAUAUUAGGAAGAACACCAGUGGCGAAGGCGACUUUCUGGACGAAAACUGACGCUGAGGCGCGAAAGCCAGGGGAGCGAACGGGAUUAGAUACCCCGGUAGUCCCGGCCGUAAACGAUGGGUACUAGGUGUAGGAGGUAUCGACCCCUUCUGUGCCGGAGUUAACGCAAUAAGUACCCCGCCUGGGGAGUACGACCGCAAGGUUG
rnacentral:rRNA from 1 species